rnacentral:rRNA from 1 species
CCCUUAGAUGUUCUGGGCCGCACGCGCGCUACAAUGAUGAAUUCAACGAGCUUAUAACCUUGGUUGAAAAGCCUGGGUAAUCUUUUGAACUUUCGUCGUGAUGGGGCUAGACCCUUGCAAUUUUUGGUCUCCAACGAGGAAUUCCUAGUAAACGCAAGUCAUCAACUUGCAUUGAUUACGUCCCUGCCCUUUGUACACACCGCCCGUCGCACCUACCGAUUGAAUGGUCCGGUGAAAUCUUCGGAUUGAGACUUUGAUUUCUUCACGGAAAACGCUGUUUUAAAAAGUUGAUUAAACCUUACCAUUUAGAGGAAGGUGAAGUCGUAACA